UACGUAGGGUGCGAGCGUUAAUCGGAAUUACUGGGCGUAAAGGGUGCGCAGGCGGCGUCGCAAGUCAGGCGUGAAAUCCCCGGGCUUAACCUGGGGACUGCACUUGAAACUACGAUGCUGGAGUAUGGCAGAGGGAGGUGGAAUUCCACGUGUAGCGGUGAAAUGCGUAGAGAUGUGGAGGAACACCGAUGGCGAAGGCAGCCUCCUGGGCCAAUACUGACGCUGAGGAGCGAAAGCGUGGGGAGCAAACAGG
rnacentral:rRNA from 1 species